CCAGACACACACGGUCCGCAGCCCAGGGCCCGUGGGUGGCCCCUGCCAGCCUGAGGGACAGUGACACAGGUUGGGAAGGGUCCUGGCGGUGCUCCUCUCAGCGCGGGUCCCGAGGAACUACAGGCACGACGCUGCCUUGAGAACUCCCCCCAGCCUGCUCCUUCCCAGCCUUGGCUCGUGAGGCUCCUCCGAGGACCACGGGCCUUCCACGGCGCAGCCCUGCCAUGAAGCCUCCCGGGCCGAGGUCAUGGCCACAUAGCCCCCAGCCAGGAGAGAUGACGCCCGGAUUCAGGGAGCAGGAGGAGAGAGCCCCUGAAGUGAGGAAACAGUGGGGCCUUGUCACUGAAAGGGCAGGCGGGUGGUGAGAGCCAGAGAUGGGAGCAUGGCCUGGACUGGCCAGGAAGCGAUAGGCCAGGGGAGUGGAGGUAACGGGGCCCACGGAUAACAGGGCAUCUUCUCCAGGGCCUCAUUCAGUCUCAGACCAAGUUUAUAUGUCAUUUCUCCUAUUGACAAUUGAUAAGCCACCCAGGGAUGCCUCAGGGCCACGUCCUUGGGAUCCGCACUAUUGUACUGUCAUCUCAGAGCCGGAGCAGCCAGGGAAGGGAAAGGAAAGAUAUUGGGGGGCACAGCUGGCUGCCACCGCCUGCUAAGGUGGGUCUACGGCCGGGGCAGGAAAGAGAGUGUUCCAGCAAGAAGCAGAACCCCACUGAUGGCCGCAGCCUGCCCCCUCACCCACCUGUCCCCCAUCUCGGUGAGGAUAGCAGGCGUGUUCUGCCACCUUGUUCCUGCCUCCGUCCCGGCUGACCCUCCCCCCUGCUGUAGGCUGGCCCAGCGUCACACCUGGUAGCCUCUUGCUGCUCCGUGGCCUCUGAGGCCCCAGGCACACGCUGGGUCCUGUCCAGCCCUCCCCUCUCCUGCGCCCAGCGGCCGAGGGGGCUGCGUUUCCCAGCUGGUGCCCAAGAGUGGCGCCCGCGUAGUAAUUCCUAAUUAAAUAGAGC
rnacentral:lncRNA from 1 species